GUUUUAAUAGUUUAAAAAAUAACGCCGGUCUUGUAACUUGGAGAUAAGGCUGCCCCCACUUUUAAAACA
rnacentral:tRNA from 1 species